CGGAGCUCAGGCAGUAAUAUUUGCUCACCCUGCCCCCCAUCACCUCCUGUUGUGCGGCCCGGUUCCUAGCAGGCCACGGACUGCCUCCUGCUUUGCACUGCUUCAGAAGUUGGCAAACAUCUUGAGGGAAGCCUGGCUCUGUUGACACUCCUGGUCUCCAGUUUUGACAUCCUAGCCCCAGAUGAUGCACCUAAAGUUGAAAAGCUGACUUCCACCUCCUGGGCAACGUGGCUCAGGUUUGUGCGCAGGUCAAGACAAAACUGAUGUCAACACCAGGAAUGAAGGAGAAAUCUGUGGCUUAAUGAAGGUGGAGACCCAGCGUGAAGGAGGCUGUGUCUGUAAGGCAGGGAAAAAAGCCUUCACCAGGAACCAGUGCUGGCACCCUGAUGUCAGACUUCAAGCCUCCAAAGCUGUGAGGGUACUGGUAGCCGCAUAAAACAAGUUGGGGCAUAUUCCAACAAAAUAGAACAUUUUGUGAAAGAGUGUAUAUGAAAAAGUUACUUCUUCCUUGAAUGUGUAAUAGAAUUCACCAGUGGAACCACCAGGGAUUGACAAUUUCUUUAUGGGUAGCCCUACAAUUUCAACCACAUCCUUGCCAAAGCUUUGGUGACUAGAGUGCUCUGGGAUCCUGAGAAGAAGAAAAGAAAAUGAGACCAAUAUUGAGACAGGACAAAUUAAAUUAUUGAAGAUC
rnacentral:lncRNA from 1 species